rnacentral:rRNA from 1 species
GGGGAAUAUUGGACAAUGGGCGCAAGCCUGAUCCAGCCAUACCGCGUGGGUGAAGAAGGCCUUCGGGUUGUAAAGCCCUUUUGUUGGGAAAGAAAAGCAGCCGGUUAAUACCCGGUUGUUCUGACGGUACCCAAAGAAUAAGCACCGGCUAACUUCGUGCCAGCAGCCGCGGUAAUACGAAGGGUGCAAGCGUUACUCGGAAUUACUGGGCGUAAAGCGUGCGUAGGUGGUUGUUUAAGUCUGUCGUGAAAGCCCUGGGCUCAACCUGGGAAUUGCGAUGGAAACUGGGCGACUAGAGUGUGGCAGAGGGUAGUGGAAUUCCUGGUGUAGCAGUGAAAUGCGUAGAGAUCAGGAGGAACAUCCGUGGCGAAGGCGACUGCCUGGGCCAACACUGACACUGAGGCACGAAAGCGUGGGGAGCAAAC